rnacentral:lncRNA from 13 species
AACAAAGAAGUCUGAAUCGUUCCAGUCGAAGGAUGGGCAGGAUUCAACACCUGAUAUUAUGGGCUGUGUUGGUGGUGUGUUGUGUAGCUGAGAGACAGUACUUCUUCCAGUCCAACUCCUCCACUUGGGAACAGGCCAGGCUACACUGCCAGGUGUGCUACAAGGAGAUGGUGAGCCUGACCCCUGAAAACAUCCAGCAACUUGCCCAGAACCUGACCUCUUCUUACUGGAUCGGCCUCCGCAAAACCAUGAACAACGGCUCCUUCCCCUGGUCCCGCUGGUCCAACGGAAACCCCCUCGCCUUCCAGAACUGGUACCCCGGUCGCCCCAUACUCUCCAAGCCCAAGAAUCCUGUGAACAUCUUUAACAACUACUAUUCCAUCCGCCCCAAUUACUGUGGGUGUUGCUGCACCAAUAACAGCAACUCUACCAGCGUUCCCCCGGUAACUACUGUUAAUAGUAGCUACCAUGGUACUGACUUCGGUAACUCUACAGAUGACCUUUUCACAGGAAAGGUAAACAUGACUGCAUCGUCAACGAAGACACCAGCCGUGACAAAGAUGACGUCUGUCAUGAUGGGAUCAACGUUCUUUACUGGAGUUACUGGUGGCAUCAAUGGCACCAAUAUGACUAGUGGGAACAAUGGGACGAAUGAAACUGAGACAGACGUGUACAUUGAGGAGCCUUGCAUAGCCAUGCUCAGUUUUGGACUUUGGUUCGAUAAAAUCUGCUCAGAGCUUCUUCCUUAUAUCUGCUAUGAAGACCGUUUCUACGGUAAUGCCACCAUGACCAACAAGACACUACACAGCGCGACUCUGAGCUGGACCCGUGGGCCUGGUGACAUCAGCGGAUACAGGAUGGAGGUCAAGUCCACUGACUACAACCUGACCCUAAACCACAGCAGUCUGAACCAGACCUAUGACCUUUCUAACCUCACCGCCGGAACCCAGUACAGAGUCCAGGUGUUCCCCAUUAAGUGUGGAAGAGACCUCAACCCACAGAACGUCUCCUUCUACACCAAGCCUGGCGUGAUCCAAAAACUCAAUGUCGCCAAUGUCUCAGAAACAAGCAUCUUCCUGACCUGGUUCGCUCCUGAGGGCAACCAUGACUUGUACAACAUUCAGGUGAGGGGUGAACCCGACCUGAAAAUGACCACACGCACAGAGAGCGCCCUGGUCAAAGGCCUGAUACCAGGAGGGCUUUACACGUUUGAGGUCAAUGCCGAGGUGGAGGACAAGUCCAUCGAGGGAGAUCGGCUGCAUAUCCCCUCCUACACCAGUGAGUCAGAGCACUGUUGUUGUUUUUCCUAUGCAAAUGUUUAACUUGUUUUCCUAGAGGACCAUUUCCAUAGGGGAAACUGUAAAUAAUAAGACUUUCUGUUUCAAGUUCCAUUUGAAUUUCAUUCCAUUGAGAAAAUUAAUGUAAUUUGAUUUGAAAAGUUCAGUUUUAUACAUUUAUAUUUGCAGUUAAGAAUUUGUUCUUAACUGACUUGCCAAGUUAAAUAAAAUAAAAAUGUUCAGUGCAGCUCACACACACUGAUCUGUCCUUUCCCCUUCAGAACCAGGAAUGGUGUC